GUUAAUAAUGUUACCAUUAUACCGCGCGUAGUGGAUAAAUUGUGGUCGACGCGGUUUCAAACUACCUACGUUGCAAAGCGGUUUCAGUUUGUGCAGAGAUAGGUCGCUCCGAUUGCUAUAGGGGAUUAGUUAAUUUGUAAAUCAGGCAGUUCAUUUCCUAAUAGGGGGGAAAACCUUUUAAAGAUACGGUACCUCGCGUUUUUCAAAUUGCCUGUUGCAAUAUCGUCGAUUGUUAAUGGUUGCAUUGUUCGAAAAAAGCUCAUCGAAAACUUCCGACCCGUUUCGUGUUAAUUCCGAUCGCGUCUCUUAAGCUGCGAUUAAGCAACGGAUUAGACUGAGCUGACAACGCAACUAUGAGGGGCCUAAACACCGUCUUGGAUGACUGAUUCCCAUAUUGGUAGAGACCUGAAUCGCGGUUUGAUUGAUGCAAGAAUUUUCGGCAUGCCGAUGCGUUUGUCUUAGUCUUAAGGCUCUUUCAUGUUCUUUGAGCCUAGUUGAUAUUUUUCGUCCGGUCUCUCCAAUGUAUUCUUUGCCGCAUAUGCACAGAAUGCUGGCAUCUCAAAUGGAAUUUUGUCUUUCACGGAUCAAAGAAGUUGAGAGAUUUUUGGACAAGUGUGAUGUUUUGAAUAUAAGGAAGGACAACAGUGGCAGGUGUUGGAUUGUUUUCGGUGUCAUUGCUAUUGGAAUGUUGUGAUGAAGCGUAUUUUGUGAUGGAACCCUUAAUAUCUGUAAUGUGGAAAUUAUUAGAGAGAAGAAAGAGAUAUUGAAUUGGACUAUUGAAGAGCCACUUAGGAGAGCUUCAAAAUGAUGUACUACUCAAGCACCUCGAAACAUUCGGGAAGAUAUAAAACUACUCCCAAUAAUGAAAUAACCAAAUACGCGUUUUAUUUAUUUCGGAAUCUCAAAAAAACUUGACGUUGUUUCAGAUAUUGAAUUGGACUAUUGAAGAACCACUUAGGAGAGCUUCAAAAUGAUGUACUACUCAACCACCUUGAAGCAUUCGGGAAGAUAUAAAACUACCCCCAAUAAUGAAAUAACCAAAUAUGCGUUUUAAUUAUUUCGGAAUCUCAAAAAAACCUGACGUUGUCCCAGAUAUUGACUUGGACCAUUGAAGAGCCACUUGAAGAGGUCGGAAGAUCCAAUAUCUGUCACCAUCUUCGAGAUCGCAAUGCAACAUGUUUUAUUAUUUAGCAACAUAAAAUGUUGACAUGAUCAAUAUUGCAAGACUCUGCGUCGAACUGAGUGAAGAAGAUGCCAUCUAAUGAGAGAUUGUCGACAAAAAAAAACUGAUACACACACAAAAGAAAAGGUUUGAAAAACCCUGCGUUCGUUGAACGUGAAGUUUACCUAAGUGUAGCAAAGCUCCCGGGAAAUUGAUGGAAACUUUUGGCGUAUUUUUUCAUUAAAAAAUACUUAUCAGGCUCUCUGGAGAGUUUCAAUAUUUUCUUUAGAUUUUAUCGCAAUUCGAUUUCAAAUAAUAAAUGUUGCAAGAAAUUUUCCGACUUGCGAAAAUAGGAAUUGAAAGAUACUUUCCCGCGGGCUUCCUGUGUAAAAAUACGUGAUGUAAUUACGUCUUUUUGUCUAGGGAAUUGCUACUUUUUCCAUUUGAUUUUUUUACCUCUUUCGUACGAUGGAAGGGUUGUUAAACGGAAUAUUUCAAGGAGAAAAAAAGUUAAGUUUUAUGAACUCGAGAGCUCGGUCAGGACACCUAUUGGCGACAAACACCUUGUAACUGUUAAAUGAUCUUUGAAGUAGUUAGUUUUAUAAUUUAAUUAGAAGCUAAUUUCUUCGAAUCCGCAUGGGUUCAUGUCCCUGGCUUUAUCGUCUCUAAUCAAUUCGUAUUAGAUGCGAUGGUCAAGUUAAAGUUACAUUUAAUUAGAAAAAGUCACUUCAAUAUUCUACUUUUAGGAUUAAUUGUAGAAGAAAACCUCAAUUGGAAAGAACAUAUCUUACUUAUUUAUUAAUGGUCGCACGGAUACUCAUUACAAGCAACUUAACAUAUUACAAUUAAAUAAAUUGAGAGAUUUUUAACAAAGCAAAUAUACCUACAAUAUGACUUACA